GUAUUGUGUACACCGUCGGGAUGAAGCAAGAGCGUACACGUUGAUACUUAAAAGAUGAUAAACUAUGCUUGUAAAGAUUGAAGACAUAGGAAUUUCUGAUGGUGGUGGACCGUAGCGAUGGUGACAUCCAAAUCGAUCGUAUAACGUGAGUGUAGGGGUGAAGGAGUAAUCGAACAAUCUAGUAGCCGGUUCCCUCCUAAGUUUACCUCACGAUAGCUGGCAUUCUGAGAAAUAAACAGUUUUAUAUGGUAAAACGAAUGGUUAGAUGCAAUGGAGUGAAAUCAUCUUCAACCUGUUCUCAAACUUUAAAUGGGUGAGAAGCUUAAGUCGCUUGAUUGAAGUUUUGUAUUGAAUUUGAGUGCCGUGUUGGCCACUUUGGUAAGCAGAACUAGCGCUGUCGGUUAAGGUGCCUAACAUGACGCUCAUGAGAUACCACAAAAGGUGUUGGCUAAUCUAGACAGCAUGUCGGUGACCAUGGAAAUCGAAAACCACUAAGGAGUGUGUA
rnacentral:ncRNA from 1 species